AUUGAACGCUGGCGGCAGGCCUAACACAUGCAAGUCGAACGAGUGGCGGACGGGUGAGUCAUGUCUGGGAAACUGCCUGAUGGAGGGGGAUAACUACUGGAACCGGUAGCUAAUACCGCAUACCAUCCGAUGUUCCCAGAUGGGAUUAGCUUGUUGGUGGGGUAACGGCUCACCAAGGCGACGAUCCCUAGCUGGUCUGAGAGGAUGACCGGCCACACUGGAACUGAGACACGGUCCAGACUCCUACGGGAGGCAGCAGUGGGGAAUAUUGCACAAUGGGCGAAAGCCUGAUGCAGCCAUGCCGCGUGAAUGAAGAAGGCCUUCGGGUUGUAAAGUACUGUCAGCAGGGAGGCGUUACCCAAAGAGGAAGCACCGGCUAACUCCGUGCCAGCAGCCGCGGUAAUUC
rnacentral:rRNA from 1 species